GACGAACGCUGGCGGCGUGCCUAAUACAUGCAAGUCGAACGCAGUGGGGACGGGUGCGUAACACGUGGGUAACCUCCCAUCAGAGGGGAUAACAAUUGGAAAAAGGUGCUAAACCGAUACUGAUGGAUGAACCCGAGGUGCAUUAGCUAGUUGGUGAGGUAACGGCUCACCAAGGCUACGAUGCCUAGCCGACCUGAGAGGGUGAUCGGCCACACUGGGACUGAGACACGGCCCAGACUCCUACGGGAGGCAGCAGUAGGGAAUCUUCGACAAUGGGCGAAAGUCUGACCGAGCAACGCCGCGUGAGUGAAGAAGGUCUUCGGAUCGUAAAACUCUGUGGUUAGAGAAGCGGUAUCUAACCAGAAAGCCACGGCUAACUACGUGCCAGCCGCCGCGGUAAUUC
rnacentral:rRNA from 1 species